GGUUAAGCGACUAAGCGUACACGGUGGAUGCCCUGGCAGUCAGAGGCGAUGAAGGACGUGCUAAUCUGCGAUAAGCGUCGGUAAGGUGAUAUGAACCGUUAUAACCGGCGAUUUCCGAAUGGGGAAACCCAGUGUGUUUCGACACACUAUCAUUAACUGAAUCCAUAGGUUAAUGAGGCGAACCGGGGGAACUGAAACAUCUAAGUACCCCGAGGAAAAGAAAUCAACCGAGAUUCCCCCAGUAGCGGCGAGCGAACGGGGAGCAGCCCAGAGCCUGAAUCAGUGUGUGUGUUAGUGGAAGCGUCUGGAAAGGCGCGCGAUACAGGGUGACAGCCCCGUACACAAAAAUGCACAUGCUGUGAGCUCGAUGAGUAGGGCGGGACACGUGGUAUCCUGUCUGAAUAUGGGGGGACCAUCCUCCAAGGCUAAAUACUCCUGACUGACCGAUAGUGAACCAGUACCGUGAGGGAAAGGCGAAAAGAACCCCGGCGAGGGGAGUGAAAAAGAACCUGAAACCGUGUACGUACAAGCAGUGGGAGCCUCUUUUAUGGGGUGACUGCGUACCUUUUGUAUAAUGGGUCAGCGACUUAUAUUCUGUAGCAAGGUUAACCGAAUAGGGGAGCCGAAGGGAAACCGAGUCUUAACUGGGCGUUAAGUUGCAGGGUAUAGACCCGAAACCCGGUGAUCUAGCCAUGGGCAGGUUGAAGGUUGGGUAACACUAACUGGAGGACCGAACCGACUAAUGUUGAAAAAUUAGCGGAUGACUUGUGGCUGGGGGUGAAAGGCCAAUCAAACCGGGAGAUAGCUGGUUCUCCCCGAAAGCUAUUUAGGUAGCGCCUCGUGAAUUCAUCUCCGGGGGUAGAGCACUGUUUCGGCAAGGGGGUCAUCCCGACUUACCAACCCGAUGCAAACUGCGAAUACCGGAGAAUGUUAUCACGGGAGACACACGGCGGGUGCUAACGUCCGUCGUGAAGAGGGAAACAACCCAGACCGCCAGCUAAGGUCCCAAAGUCAUGGUUAAGUGGGAAACGAUGUGGGAAGGCCCAGACAGCCAGGAUGUUGGCUUAGAAGCAGCCAUCAUUUAAAGAAAGCGUAAUAGCUCACUGGUCGAGUCGGCCUGCGCGGAAGAUGUAACGGGGCUAAACCAUGCACCGAAGCUGCGGCAGCGACGCUGAUGCGUUGUUGGGUAGGGGAGCGUUCUGUAAGCCUGUGAAGGUGUGCUGUGAGGCAUGCUGGAGGUAUCAGAAGUGCGAAUGCUGACAUAAGUAACGAUAAAGCGGGUGAAAAGCCCGCUCGCCGGAAGACCAAGGGUUCCUGUCCAACGUUAAUCGGGGCAGGGUGAGUCGACCCCUAAGGCGAGGCCGAAAGGCGUAGUCGAUGGGAAACAGGUUAAUAUUCCUGUACUUGGUGUUACUGCGAAGGGGGGACGGAGAAGGCUAUGUUGGCCGGGCGACGGUUGUCCCGGUUUAAGCGUGUAGGCUGGUUUUCCAGGCAAAUCCGGAAAAUCAAGGCUGAGGCGUGAUGACGAGGCACUACGGUGCUGAAGCAACAAAUGCCCUGCUUCCAGGAAAAGCCUCUAAGCAUCAGGUAACAUCAAAUCGUACCCCAAACCGACACAGGUGGUCAGGUAGAGAAUACCAAGGCGCUUGAGAGAACUCGGGUGAAGGAACUAGGCAAAAUGGUGCCGUAACUUCGGGAGAAGGCACGCUGAUAUGUAGGUGAAGUCCCUCGCGGAUGGAGCUGAAAUCAGUCGAAGAUACCAGCUGGCUGCAACUGUUUAUUAAAAACACAGCACUGUGCAAACACGAAAGUGGACGUAUACGGUGUGACGCCUGCCCGGUGCCGGAAGGUUAAUUGAUGGGGUCAGCGCAAAGCGAAGCUCUUGAUCGAAGCCCCGGUAAACGGCGGCCGUAACUAUAACGGUCCUAAGGUAGCGAAAUUCCUUGUCGGGUAAGUUCCGACCUGCACGAAUGGCGUAAUGAUGGCCAGGCUGUCUCCACCCGAGACUCAGUGAAAUUGAACUCGCUGUGAAGAUGCAGUGUACCCGCGGCAAGACGGAAAGACCCCGUGAACCUUUACUAUAGCUUGACACUGAACAUUGAGCCUUGAUGUGUAGGAUAGGUGGGAGGCUUUGAAGUGUGGACGCCAGUCUGCAUGGAGCCGACCUUGAAAUACCACCCUUUAAUGUUUGAUGUUCUAACGUUGACCCGUAAUCCGGGUUGCGGACAGUGUCUGGUGGGUAGUUUGACUGGGGCGGUCUCCUCCUAAAGAGUAACGGAGGAGCACGAAGGUUGGCUAAUCCUGGUCGGACAUCAGGAGGUUAGUGCAAUGGCAUAAGCCAGCUUGACUGCGAGCGUGACGGCGCGAGCAGGUGCGAAAGCAGGUCAUAGUGAUCCGGUGGUUCUGAAUGGAAGGGCCAUCGCUCAACGGAUAAAAGGUACUCCGGGGAUAACAGGCUGAUACCGCCCAAGAGUUCAUAUCGACGGCGGUGUUUGGCACCUCGAUGUCGGCUCAUCACAUCCUGGGGCUGAAGUAGGUCCCAAGGGUAUGGCUGUUCGCCAUUUAAAGUGGUACGCGAGCUGGGUUUAGAACGUCGUGAGACAGUUCGGUCCCUAUCUGCCGUGGGCGCUGGAGAACUGAGGGGGGCUGCUCCUAGUACGAGAGGACCGGAGUGGACGCAUCACUGGUGUUCGGGUUGUCAUGCCAAUGGCACUGCCCGGUAGCUAAAUGCGGAAGAGAUAAGUGCUGAAAGCAUCUAAGCACGAAACUUGCCCCGAGAUGAGUUCUCCCUGACUCCUUGAGAGUCCUGAAGGAACGUUGAAGACGACGACGUUGAUAGGCCGGGUGUGUAAGCGCAGCGAUGCGUUGAGCUAACCGGUACUAAUGAACCGUGAGGCUUAACCUUACAACGCCGAAG
rnacentral:rRNA from 1 species